AACGAACGCUGGCGGCAGGCCUAACACAUGCAAGUCGAACGCUCGUAGCAAUACGAGAGUGGCAGACGGGUGAGUAACACGUGGGAACCUUCCCUAUGGUUCGGAAUAGCUCAGGGAAACUUGGGGUAAUACCGGAUAAGCCCUUCGGGGAAGGAUUAUCGCCAUUGGAUGGGCCCGGCGUCGGAUUAGCUAGUUGGUGAGGUAACGGCUCACCAAGGCAACGAUCCGUAGCUGGUCUGAGAGGAUGAUCAGCCACACUGGGACUGAGACACGGCCCAGACUCCUACGGGAGGCAGCAGUGGGGAAUAUUGGACAAUGGGCGCAAGCCUGAUCCAGCCAUGCCGCGUGAGUGACGAAGGUCUUCGAUUGUAAAACUCUUUUGGCGGGACGAUAAUGACGGUACCGCAGAAUAAGCCCCGGCUAACUUCGUGCCAGCCGCCGCCGUAAU
rnacentral:rRNA from 1 species